GAUGAAGAACGUAGCGAAAUGCGAUAAGUAAUGUGAAUUGCAGAAUUCAGUGAAUCAUCGAAUCUUUGAACGCACAUUGCGCCCGCCAGAAUACUGGCGGGCAUGCCUCUCCGAGCGUCAUUUCAACCCUCGAACCCCUCCGGGGGGUCGGCGUUGGGGAUCGGCCCUCCCUUAGCGGGUGGCCGUGUCCGAAAUACAGUGGCGGUCUCGCCGCAGCCUCUCCUGCGCAGUAGUUUGCACACUCGCAUCGGGAGCGCGGCGCGUCCACAGCCGUUAAACACCCAACUUCUGAAAUGUUGACCUCGGAUCAGGUAGGAAUACCCGCUGAACUUAAGCAUAUCAAUAAGCGGAGGA
rnacentral:misc_RNA from 1 species